GACGAACGCUGGCGGCGUGCUUAACACAUGCGAGUCGAACGGAAAGGCCCUGCUUUUGUGGGGUGCUCGAGUGGCGAACGGGUGAGUAACACGUGAGUAACCUGCCCUUGACUUUGGGAUAACUUCAGGAAACUGGGGCUAAUACCGGAUAGGAGCUCCUGCUGCAUGGUGGGGGUUGGAAAGUUUCGGCGGUUGGGGAUGGACUCGCGGCUUAUCAGCUUGUUGGUGGGGUAGUGGCUUACCAAGGCUUUGACGGGUAGCCGGCCUGAGAGGGUGACCGGCCACAUUGGGACUGAGAUACGGCCCAGACUCCUACGGGAGGCAGCAGUGGGGAAUAUUGCUCAAUGGGCGGAAGCCUGAUGCAGCAACGCCGCGUGCGGGAUGACGGCCUUCGGGUUGUAAACCGCUUUCGCCUGUGACGAAGCGUGAGUGACGGUAAUGGGUAAAGAAGCACCGGCUAACUACGUG
rnacentral:rRNA from 1 species